rnacentral:rRNA from 1 species
UGAACGCUGGCGGCAUGCUCUUACACAUGCAAGUCGAACGGUAACAGGUUAAGCUGACGAGUGGCGAACGGGUGAGUAAUAUAUCGGAACGUGCCCAGUAGUGGGGGAUAGCCCGGCGAAAGCCGGAUUAAUACCGCAUACGACCUACGGGUGAAAGCGGGGGAUCGCAAGACCUCGCGCUAUUGGAGCGCGCCGAUAUCAGAUUAGCUUGUUGGUGGGGUAAAAGCCCACCAAGGCGACGAUCUGUAGCUGGGUCUGAGAGGACGACCAGCCACCCACUGGGGACUGAGACACGGCCCAAACUCCUACAGGGGAGGCAGCAGUGGGUGUUUUUUUGGACAAUGGGACGCAGCAGUCUAAUCCCGCCCUUGCCGGGGGGGGGAAGAAAAGGCCUUCCGGGUUGUAAACCGCUUUGUGGCCAGGGAAGAAAAGUCUUCGGUUUAAUAACUUGGGGAAGAAAAAAGAAACCCUGAAGGAUAAGCACCCGCUAACUACGUUCCCAGCAGCCGCGGUAAAUACGUAGGGUGGCAAGCGUUAAUCGGAAUUUACUGGGCGUAAAAGCGUUGCGCAGGCGGUUCAUAUAAGACAGAUGUGAAAUCCCCGGGGCUCAACCUGGGAACUGCACUUUUUGUGACUGUUAGAGCUGGAGUACGGCACGAGGGGGAUGGAAUAUCCGCGUGUAGUCAGUGAAAUGCGUAGAUAUUUUGGAGAAACAACCCCGAUGGCGAAGGCAAUCCCCUGGGCCUGCUACUGACGCUCAUUUGCACGAAAGCGUGGGGAGCAAACUGGAUUAAGAUACCCUGGCGUAGUGCCACGCCCUAAACGCACAUCAACUGACAUGUGUUGGGAAGAGUUCCUUCUCAGUAACGUAGCUAACGCGUGAAGUUGACCGCCUGGAUUAGCACGGCCGCAAGGUUGAAACUCAAAGGAAUUGACGGGGACCCGCACAAGCGGUGGAUGAUGUGGUUUAAUUCGAUGCAACGCGAAAAACCUUACCUACCCUUGACAUGUCUAGAAUUUUGCAGAGAUGUGGAAGUGCUCGAAAGAGAACUAGAACACAGGUGCUGCAUGGCCGUCGUCAGCUCGUGUCGUGAGAUGUU